rnacentral:rRNA from 1 species
UACGUAGGGUGCAAGCGUUAAUCGGAAUUACUGGGCGUAAAGCGUGCGCAGGCGGUGAUGUAAGACAGGUGUGAAAUCCCCGGGCUUAACCUGGGAACUGCACUUGAAACUACGAUGCUGGAGUAUGGCAGAGGGAGGUGGAAUUCCACGUGUAGCGGUGAAAUGCGUAGAGAUGUGGAGGAACACCGAUGGCGAAGGCAGCCUCCUGGGCCAAUACUGACGCUCAUGCACGAAAGCGUGGGGAGCAAACAGG